GACAGGUCAUGACCCUCCCCACUUCCGGAAGCCCACCGUUAAUUGUUCCAACAGCAGAGGCGAACUCAGUUUGCUGCUAGAGCGCCUGCUCAGAGUUCCUGCACUGAGCGCUUUCGUUUCUUGGUUUUGUGUGUGUGUGUGAGCUAUGGCUCGUUCCUCAAGGGCUCUCUUGGAACCUAGUGUGGGAACCCACGGGUGCCGGGCACCCUCGGUGGUAUCAGAGAGGCAGAUCUUCUUAGGGUUAUUAUUGCAGCUAUGACAACUGUUGUUAAAACAAGACAAAGAGGCUCAAACCCAAGCUCCUUGAAUGACAAAAACGAAAGAAUCAACCCCCACGACUGUUUGACUCAUGAAAUGAACAAGUCCUAAAGAUCUGUGGAUCCAACAGUUUUUGGUCGUGGCUACUAAGUCAUUGGGAAGAACCUUACCAGUGACACAUACUUAAGGUUGUUAAAGUUUCUAUUUCCCACUGUCCAAGAGUUCUUGCAAACUCGUUGGAACAGUGUUUCUCAACUUUUGGCUGGAGAUCCUUAUUCAAAGGUUACCUAAGACCAUCUGAAAAGAGGUAUUUACAUUACAAUUUAUAAGUGUAGCAAAAUUGCA
rnacentral:lncRNA from 1 species